rnacentral:rRNA from 1 species
CCUACGGGAGGCAGCAGUGGGGAAUAUUGGACAAUGGGCGAAAGCCUGAUCCAGCAAUGCCGCGUGAGUGAUGAAGGCCUUAGGGUUGUAAAGCUCUUUUACCAGGGAUGAUAAUGACAGUACCUGGAGAAUAAGCUCCGGCUAACUCCGUGCCAGCAGCCGCGGUAAUACGGAGGGAGCUAGCGUUGUUCGGAAUUACUGGGCGUAAAGCGUACGUAGGCGGUUAUUCAAGUCAGAGGUGAAAGCCUGGAGCUCAACUCCAGAACUGCCUUUGAAACUAGAUAGCUAGAAUCACGGAGAGGUUAGUGGAAUUCCGAGUGUAGAGGUGAAAUUCGUAGAUAUUCGGAAGAACACCAGUGGCGAAGGCGACUAACUGGACGUGUAUUGACGCUGAGGUACGAAAGCGUGGGGAGCAAACAGGAUUAGAUACCCUGGUAGUCCACGCCGUAAACGAUGAUAACUAGCUGUUCGGUCUCUACGAGACUGAGUGGCGCAGCUAACGCAUUAAGUUAUCCGCCUGGGAGUACGGUCGCAAGAUUAAAACUCAAAGAGUAGUACGCGGNGAGAGACGCGACGACGACGACGACGGAGGAGGAG